CCUACGGGUGGCAGCAGUGAGGAAUAUUGGUCAAUGGCCGGAAGGCUGAACCAGCCAAGCCGCGUGAAGGACGAAGGUGCCAAGCAUUGUAAACUUCUUUUGUCAAGGGACAAAAUCAGGCUCGAGAGCCUGACCGAGGGUACUUGAAGAAAAAGCAUCGGCUAACUCCGUGCCAGCAGCCGCGGUAAUACGGAGGAUGCGAGCGUUAUCCGGAUUUAUGGGGUUUAAAGGGUGCGUAGGCGGACUGUUAAGUCAGCGGUAAAAGCCCGGGGCUCAACCCCGGCGAGCCGUUGAACGUGGCUGUCUUGAGAUGUCGAGAGGUAUGCGGAAUGCGCAGUGUAGCGGUGAAAUGCUUAGAUAUUGCGCAGAACUCCGAUUGCGAAGGCAGCAUACCGGCGGCGAUCUGACGCUGAGGCACGAAAGCGUGGGUAUCGAACAGGAUUAGAUACCCCUGUAGUC
rnacentral:rRNA from 1 species